CAACUCCCAGCAUCCUCUGCUAGGCGCCGGACUGUCGGGGUAGGAAGUGAAGCGAGAGGCGGAUAAACAUUUAAGGAAUCUGUGAAGAACGAGUCGCCUUUCUGGAUGGCAGCCCGUGAGGAGGAGCUUGAAGUUCGGACAAAACAGCUGGAUAUAGCUCAAGGCCAGGAGAACUUGCCUGUUAGCGCGUGGCCCCCAGGGGCGGGACCAGAGCCCUUCCAGUAUACCCCUGAUCAUGUAGUUGGACCUGGAGCAGACAUUGAUCCUUCUCAAAUGACAUUUCCUGGAUGCAUUUGUGUCAAAACUCCCUGUCUCCCUGGAAGUUGCUCCUGUGUCCACCAUGAGGAGACCUAUGAUGAUAAUUUGUGCCUUAGAGAUACAGGAUCAGAGGCACAGUAUGCCAAACCUAUUUUUGAAUGCAAUGUCCUGUGCCAGUGUGGUAAUCACUGCAGAAACAGAGUGGUCCAGAAGGGUCUCCAGUUCAACCUCCAGGUGUUCAAGACACAUAAAAAAGGCUGGGGACUUCGUACUUUGGAACUUAUACCAAAAGGAAAGUUUGUCUGUGAAUAUGCUGGUGAAGUUUUAGGAUUCUUCGAAGUACAGAGGAGAAUUCACUUACAAACAACAAAUGACUCAAAUUACAUUAUAGCCAUCAAAGAACAUAUUUAUAAUGGACAGAUACUGGAAACAUAUGUUGAUCCUACCUAUAUAGGAAAUAUUGGAAGAUUCCUUAAUCAUUCUUGUGAGCCAAACCUGUUGAUGAUUCCUGUUCGAAUUGACUCAAUGGUUCCUAAAUUAGCACUUUUUGCAGCUAAAGACAUUUUGCCAGGUGAAGAACUCUCUUAUGACUAUUCAGGAAGAUACCUUAAUCUAAGGGACAGUGAAGACACAGAAAGAACAGAUAAUGGGAAACUAAGGAAACCUUGUUACUGUGGUGCCAAAUUGUGUACUGGUUUCUUGCCUUACGACAGUUCAUUGUUCUUGGAAAAGCCAAACAUCAAUUAGGAAGGAAAUUCCCUCUCACUGCCUUCCUUAGUGGCCAGGAAUAAGAAGGAACCAAGCAUGUGUGACCUACCUGCUUCUGGGUUCCCUUCUGCAAGUAAUUUUCCAGUGUUUCAGGUCUCUCUAUAUAUGCCAAACUGCCUGGAAAGACAGUGAUUGAAGACAUUAAAGGAGCAUCCUUCCCAUGUCAUUUAAAGCACAGGGCCGUGGAGAUGACAAACACCUGACCAAGCUGAUCAGUGGACAACGCCAACUCACUGAGAAAAAAGAUCCUGAGGCAAAGAACAAAUGAGUCACACUGUGGCAUGGGAAGCCACUACAGGUAAUGGAACUAUAGGAAUGGAAAAUGACACUAUUGUACUUUAUAAUUCAUUAACAAAUUUUG